CCAAUAGCGUAUAUUAAAGUUGUUGCAGUUAAAAAGCUCGUAGUUGAAUUUCGAGACCGGUUUACUGGUCGUGCUUUUGUACGUACUGGUAUUAUUGGUUUCUCCUUUCUGACGAAUCAUAAUGCCAUUAAUUUGGUGUUUUGGGGAAUCAGGACUGUUACUUUGAAAAAAUUAGAGUGUUUAAAGCAGGCUCACGCUUGAAUACAUUAGCAUGGAAUAACGAAAUAGGACGUUUGAUUUUAUUUUGUUGGUUUCUAGGAUCGACGUAAUGAUUAAUAGGGAUAGUUGGGGGCAUUAGUAUUCAAUUGUCAGAGGUGAAAUUCUUGGAUUUAUUGAAGACUAACUACUGCGAAAGCAUUUGCCAAGGAUGUUUUCAUUAAUCAAGAACGAAGGUUAGGGGAUCGAAGACGAUCAGAUACCGUCGUAGUCUUAACCAUAAACUAUGCCGACUAGGGAUCGGAUGAUGUUAAUUUUUUUAUGACUCAUUCGGCGCCUUACG
rnacentral:rRNA from 1 species